CCUACGGGCGGCAGCAGUGGGGGAUAUUGCACAAUGGGGGAAACUCUGAUGCAGCGACGCCGCGUGUGGGAAGACGGUCCUCUGGAUUGUAAACUACUGUUACCAGGGACGAAAAUGAUGGUACCUGGGGAGGAUGCAUCGGCUAACUACGUGCAAGCAGCCGCGGUAAUACGAAGGGAGCGGGCGUUGUCCGGAAUUACUGGUUGUAAAGGGAGCGUAGGCGGGGAUGCAAGGUGGGUGUCAAAACUACCGGCUCAACUGGUAGUCGCACUCAAAACUGGAGGUCUUGAGUGAAGUAGAGGCAGGCGGAAUUCCUAGUGUAGCGGUGAAAUGCGUAGAUAUUAGGAGGAACACCAGUGGCGAAGGCGGCCUGCUGGGCUUUAACUGACGCUGAGGCUCGAAAGUGUGGGGAGCAAACAGGAUUAGAUACCCUGGUAGUC
rnacentral:rRNA from 1 species